rnacentral:rRNA from 1 species
GACGAACGCUGGCGGCGUGCUUAACACAUGCAAGUCGAACGGACAGGCCCUGCUUUUGUGGGGUGCUCGAUUGGCGAACGGGUGAGUAACACGUGAGUAACCUGCCCUUGACUUUGGGAUAACUUCAGGAAACUGGGGCUAAUACCGGAUAGGAGCUCCUGCUGCAUGGUGGGGGUUGGAAAGUUUCGGCGGUUGGGGAUGGACUCGCGGCUUAUCAGCUUGUUGGUGGGGUAGUGGCUUACCAAGGCUUUGACGGGUAGCCCGCAUGAGAGGGUGAACGGCGACAUUGGGCCUGAGGUACGGACCAGUAUCCUACGGGAGGCAGCAGUGGGGAGUAUGGCAGAAUGGGCGGAAGCGUGAUGCAGAAACGCCGCGUGCGGGAUGCCGGCUUUCGGGUUGUAAACAGAUUUGGAAUGUGACGUAGCGGGAGUGACGGUAAUGGGUAAAGAAGCACCGGCUAACUACGUG